GCGCGGUUGUUAGAAACGAUAGCGGGUUUAUUUACGUCAAGUCCCAAUUCGCCGCUAUCAAAGGUUUCAGGAAAAGGGAUAAUGUAUUUUCACUAAACAAAAUUAAUAAAAGUGAGAUCAGCGUAUUUCAAAAGUUACAUUUUAAUCUUGUCACUCUUGUUUAAGUAUGAAUUAUUUCUGAAAAAAUUAUACAACUGUACAUGUAUACGUUUAAGUUAAGAUAAUAAAUAACUGCGGGUGUAUAACUGUAUGACUUCUAUCAUCCAAAUUAGAUUACCAAAAGAUAUACCUUGAACAAAUUACUCACUGCAGUUCAUGAAUCUGCGUCAUAACAUAUAUAAGCAUUAAUUAAUUAAUCAUGCCAAAAAUUAUUUUUGUAAGUUUUAUAAGUCCCUGCAACUUGUGCAACAAUUAAUGCUAUAUUAAGAAAUCAAAAUAUAUUAUUCUGACGAUUACGUUAUAGACAGUGCCAAGUUUUUUAAAAUGGUAAUGAUGAGUGAUUUAUAAGCGUGCACAAAACAUGUUAGUGAAUUAAAUUUAUACAAAUAUGUUUAUUCGCAAAUAUUAAUACGAACCACCAAAACUCUGAAACAACAGUGGCAAGUUGGUCGGUUUGAAAGACAAUAGGAGCUGAAAUAGCCGACCAAUCACUUCGUGUCAGUUUCCCACGAACAGAGGCUGCCACGGAUCAGCGAUCACUCU